GGCCGACAUGCUCAUGAACAUCAAGACCGGAUCAAGUACGCUGGUGCACCGCGGUGUGCGGCGGCCUAUUUUCUUGUAGUGGGUUAUGAUGAUAUUUCCACGGAAAUAUACUGACCCUGAUGCGACAAAGGUGUCCAUUUUCCCUUUUUUAAACUUUUUUACUCUGUUUUUUGUUCUUCCUGUAGUUCCAGUUUCACAUUGCUGGUGUUUCAUGCAAUAUUCAUCGGAUCCUGCUU